GCCUGAUGCAGCAACGCCGCGUGAGGGACGACGGCCUUCGGGUUGUAAACCUCUUUUAGUAGGGAAGAAGCGAAAGUGACGGUACCUGCAGAAAAAGCACCGGCUAACUACGUGCCAGCAGCCGCGGUAAUACGUAGGGUGCAAGCGUUGUCCGGAAUUAUUGGGCGUAAAGAGCUCGUAGGCGGUUUGUCGCGUCUGCUGUGAAAACCCGAGGCUCAACCUCGGGCCUGCAGUGGGUACGGGCAAACUAGAGUGCGGUAGGGGAGAAUGGAAUUCCUGGUGUAGCGGUGGAAUGCGCAGAUAUCAGGAGGAACACCGAUGGCGAAGGCAGUUCUCUGGGCCGUAACUGACGCUGAGGAGCGAAAGCGUGGGGAGCGAACAGGAUUAGAUACCCUGGUAGUCCACGCCGUAAACGUUGGGCGCUAGAUGUGGGGACCAUUCCACGGUUUCCGUGUCGCAGCUAACGCAUUAAGCGCCCCGCCUGGGGAGUACGGCCGCAAGGCUAAAACUCAAAGGAAUUGACGGGGGCCCGCACAAGCGGCGGAGCAUGCGGAUUAAUUCGAUGCAACGCGAAGAACCUUACCAAGGCUUGACAUAUACCGGAAACGGCUGGAAACAGUCGCCCCGCAAGG
rnacentral:rRNA from 1 species